UAGGUUAUUGCGGAACCGGAGCUGAUUCCGAAUGCUGUAGAGCAGCACUUGCUUCUCAUAUUCACGCUGGGAAUUGCCCAAACUCUGCAAAGAGAAAGGAAAAUGGACACAAUUGCUGCUGUGACUGUCACACUACAGCUUUUAAGGAGUCUCAGGGGACGGACCAAGAGGCUAUAGCAGGUGAAUGACACCAAGGCCAAAAAGUUGGUGAAGUGUGAGAAUCUGAAGGAGCGAAGGAUGGAUGUGGACAGAUGCGGAUGUGUCGGACGUCCACACAUCCGAAGACAGACGUGUGGACGUCCAGAGGUUCUCUGCCCGAUAAGCUCUCCAACCAUGGAUCUCUUCCUCUUGUCUGCAUCUGUAUCAGAGCCAACCCACCACUGUCACACAUGGGACAGGUGACUGUUGUUUAGGUCAAUUGUACCAAACUCUAGCUGACACCCAUUCACACCUGUGAUUGCGCUAGUUCUAUCACUUCUGCUAGGUUUCUCCUGCUGCGUUGACAUUCAAAGACCCCUGACUGUGUAGAAUACACUUGUCGCUCCAGCUUCUUUAGGUACAUGCGUUUUUUCAUGGCCUCAAUUCAGACAUUUUAGCCUCAAGUGAAGCAGAAAUUACACCUAAUUCAAGAGAUGACCCACACAUCCCUCCUAUUUUUGUUUCUUGGCCUAUAUUCAGGAGAAAAAAACUACAUGUAUGUUCUACUUUAAUUAAUGAUGUUCAAAGAGCUAGAAGAUCACAAUAUAGUACAAAUAAUCAUGUUCAGAACUGAACAAAACAGUCUUCAGGGCACUCAUUGCAUCAGAGCACCAAACGUUCAACAUUCGUAUUUUCACUGUUAGUUGA